rnacentral:ncRNA from 1 species
UGUUCGGAGAGUUUGAUCCUGGCUCAGGACGAACGCUGGCGGCGUGCUUAACACAUGCAAGUCGAACGAUGAAGCGGUGCUUUUGUAUCGUGGAUUAGUGGCGAACGGGUGAGUAACACGUGAGUAACCUGCCCCCUUCUUUGGGAUAAGCAUUGGAAACGGUGUCUAAUACUGGAUAUUCACAUUUUGCCGCAUGGUGGGGUGUGGAAAGGUUUUUCUGGUGGGGGAUGGGCUCGCGGCCUAUCAGCUUGUUGGUGGGGUGAUGGCCUACCAAGGCUUUGACGGGUAGCCGGCCUGAGAGGGUGACCGGUCACACUGGGACUGAGAUACGGCCCAGACUCCUACGGGAGGCAGCAGUGGGGAAUAUUGCACAAUGGGCGAAAGCCUGAUGCAGCGACGCCGCGUGAGGGAUGACGGCCUUCGGGUUGUAAACCUCUUUCAGUAAGGACGCAGGGCAAUCUUUGGGUUGUUUGACGGUACUUGCAGAAGAAGCGCCGGCUAACUACGUGCCAGCAGCCGCGGUAAUACGUAGGGCGCAAGCGUUGUCCGGAAUUAUUGGGCGUAAAGGGCUUGUAGGCGGCGUGUCGCGUCUGUCGUGAAAUCCAAUGGCUUAACUGUUGGCUUGCGGUGGGUACGGGCAUGCUUGAGUGCGGUAGGGGAGACUGGAAUUCCUGGUGUAGCGGUGGAAUGCGCAGAUAUCAGGAGGAACACCGGUGGCGAAGGCGGGUCUCUGGGCCGUUACUGACGCUGAGGAGCGAAAGCGUGGGGAGCGAACAGGAUUAGAUACCCUGGUAGUCCACGCUGUAAACGUUGGGCACUAGGUGUGGGGGCUGUCAUGGUUUCUGCGCCGUAGCUAACGCAUUAAGUGCCCCGCCUGGGGAGUACGGCCGCAAGGCUAAAACUCAAAGGAAUUGACGGGGGCCCGCACAAGCGGCGGAGCAUGCGGAUUAAUUCGAUGCAACGCGAAGAACCUUACCAAGGCUUGACAUGCACCGG